rfam:Pragia fontium strain 24613, complete genome.
UUGGGUGGCUGAAUUAGAGAUCGGCGCCUGUUUUGUUUAUUCCCAAGAAUUGGAGUUCUAUAAUGUCUCUAAGCGUUGAAGCGAAAGCUAAAAUCGUUGCUGAGUAUGGUCGUGGUGCA